rnacentral:rRNA from 1 species
CCUACGGGUGGCUGCAGUGAGGAAUAUUGGUCAAUGGACGAGAGUCUGAACCAGCCACGUAGCGUGAAGGAUGACUGCCCUAUGGGUUGUAAACUUCUUUUAUAUGGGAAUAAAACGUUCCACGUGUGGGAUUUUGUAUGUACCAUAUGAAUAAGGCUCGGCUAACUCCGUGCCAGCAGCCGCGGUAAUACGGAGGAUCCGAGCGUUAUCCGGAUUUAUUGGGUUUAAAGGGAGCGUAGGUGGAUUGUUAAGUCAGUUGUGAAAGUUUGCGGCUCAACCGUAAAAGUGCAGUUGAAACUGGCAGUCUUGAGUACAGUAGAGGUGGGCGGAAUUCGUGGUGUAGCGGUGAAAUGCUUAGAUAUCACGAAGAACUCCGAUUGCGAAGGCAGUUCACUGGACUGCAACUGACACUGAGGCUCGAAAGUGUGGGUAUCAAACAGGAUUAGAUACCCCUGUAGUC